AUUCCGAUCACCAGAGUACGCAUUUCCUUCAGGCUUUUCACAACUACACGACUGGUCAUAGAAAUCUGCCUGAGAUUACUUAACAACGUAACAGUUUGAGGCAGCUGAGGCGUGGAGGAUGUGUUAAGGCGUCUGCCUCCCGACAGGAAAGACGAGCUAUAUCUCUGCAGAUAAGGCCGCGGCCGGCUUGAGAAUUGUAACAAAGCAGGCGGCUCAGAUGCAGAUCUAAACAAAAGCCUUUGUUUUGGCAAGCUGGCGGCUGCAGGGGAGAAGAAGAGACGAGCGGGGAGAGCUGGGUUCAACAGU